GGCACAGUACACGUAUCUUCAAGUGACAUCUCGAGCUCAGCAAUGAAGGCCGCCAUCUUCGUCACACUCGUAGGCGUGAUGGCCGUUUACCUUCAAUCCACCGAAGCGACAGUUGCGAAUCCAGAUCGGGGUCUCCUAGAUGCAAUGUUCAUCUCACGCCACGAAAAGCAUCCACAGGAGCGCGAUCCGGGAAGGAGUUCUUCGUCUUCGUCUUCUUCGGAUGAAAGUGGUCCCGAGCCGACGGCCGAUGCGUCGGGCUGUCCCAGCGGAGUCGGGUUCCUCCCCGACCCGAACGAUUGCAAUGGGUACAUUUACUGUCUCAAUGGAAUCUCGAAAAAUCAGUUCUGUAACGAAGGUCUCCACUACAACGCCAAGGCAAAGGCGUGCCAGGCGCCCGAAGAUGCUGGCUGCCAGUACCCAGCCUAGUGCAUCUCCUCUACCGCACCACGUGCUAUUGCUAAUGCAUCUCCUUAGCUGCACCCAGUUGGCAUAUA